rnacentral:rRNA from 1 species
GUCUACGGCCAUGCCACCCUGAAGAAGCCCGAUCCCAUCUGAUUUCAGAAGCUAAGCAGGGUCAGGCCUGGUUGGGAGACCACCUAGGAAGACUAGGUGCUGUAGGCA